rnacentral:rRNA from 1 species
CCUACGUGAGUCAGCAGUGGGGAAUAUUGCACAAUGGGGGAAACCCUGCUGCAGCGACGCCGCGUGAGUGAAGAAGUAUUUCGGUAUGUAAAGCUCUAUCAGCAGGGAAGAAAAUGACGGUACUUGAUUAAGAAGCCCCGUCUAACUACGUGCCAGCAGCCGCGGGAAUACGUAGGGGGCAAGCGUUAUCCGGAUUUACUGGGUGUAAAGGGAGCGUAGACGGCAGCACAAGUCUGGAGUGAAAUGCCGGGGCUUAACCCCGGAACUGCUUUGGAAACUGUGCAGCUAGAGUGCAGGAGAGGUAAGUGGAAUUCCUAGUGUAGCGGUGAAAUGCGUAGAUAUUAGGAGGAACACCAGUGGCGAAGGCGGCUUACUGGACUGUAACUGACGUUGAGGCUCGAAAGCGUGGGGAGCAAACAGGAUUAGAUACCCUGGUAGUC